CCCUUAGAUGUUCUGGGCUGCACGCGCGCUACACUGAUGCACUCAACGAGUUUACGACCUUGCUCGAUAGGGUUGGGUAAUCUUUUUAAAAUGCAUCGUGAUGGGGAUAGAUUAUUGCAAUUAUUAAUCUUCAACGAGGAAUUCCUAGUAAGCGCGAGUCAUCAGCUCGUGCUGAUUACGUCCCUGCCCUUUGUACACACCGCCCGUCGCUCCUACCGAUUGAGUGCUCAGGUGAAUAAUUCGGACUGCAGCAAUGUUUGGAUCCCGAACGUUGCAGCGGAAAGUUUAGUGAACCUUAUCACUUAGAGGAAGGAGAAGUCGUAACA
rnacentral:rRNA from 1 species